ACCUACGGGGCGCAGCAGUAGGGGAUCUUCCACAAAGGGCGAAAGCCUGAUGGAGCAACGCCGCGUGGGUGAAGAAGGUCUUCGGAUCGUAAAACCCUGUUGUUAGAGAGGAAAGAGCGUGAGAGUAACUGUUCACGUUUCGACGGUAUCUAACCAGAAAGCCACGGCUAACUACGUGCCAGCAGCCGCGGUCAUACGUAGGUGGCAAGCGUUAUCCGGAUUUAUUGGGCGUAAAGAGAACGCAGGCGGUCUUUUAAGUCUGAUGUGUACGACUUCGGCUUAACCGGAGUAGUGCAUU
rnacentral:rRNA from 1 species